rnacentral:rRNA from 1 species
GACGAACGCUGGCGGCGUGCUUAACACAUGCAAGUCGAACGGUGAAGCGCCUUCCUUUUUGGUGGGUGUGGGUGAGUGGCGAACGGGUGAGUAACACGUGAGUAACCUGCCCCCUUCUUCUGGAGAACCGCAUGAAAGUGUGGCUAAUACGGGAUAUUCUGGGUCUGUCGCAUGAUGGGUCUGGGCAAGAUAUUGUUUCGGUGGGGGAUGUGCUCGGGGCCUAUUAGCUUGUUGGUGGGGUGAUGGCCUACCAAGGCGGUGGUGGGUAGCCGGCCUGAGAGGGUGGUCAGACAGACUGUGAGUGAGACACGGCCCUCCUUCGGACGGGAGGCAGCAGUGAUGUAUAUUGCACAAUGGGCGCAAGCCUGAUGCAGGGAGGCCGCGUGAGGGAGGACGCCUUCGGGUUGUGAACCUCUUUCGCCGGGGAAGCAGGGCUGCCUCGUUUGUGGGUGGGUUGACGGUAGCUGGAGAAGAAGCGCCGGCUAACUACGUG